UACAGAGGUCCCAAGCGUUGUUCGGAUUCACUGGGCGUAAAGGGUGCGUAGGUGGUGAGGUAAGUCGGAUGUGAAAGCUCGGAGCUCAACUCCGAAAUGGCAUUGGAAACUACCUUGCUCGAGGGUGGGAGGGGGGACUGGAAUACUUGGUGUAGCAGUGAAAUGCGUAGAUAUCAAGUGGAACACCAGUGGCGAAGGCGAGUCCCUGGACAACUCCUGACACUGAGGCACAAAAGCUAGGGGAGCAAACAGG
rnacentral:rRNA from 1 species